UUAGGUUAAGUUAUUAAGGGCGUAUGGUGGAUGCCUUGGCACUAGGAGCCGAUGAAGGACGUGACUAACUGCGAUAUGCUUCGGGGAGUUGUAAGUAAACUAUGAUCCGGAGAUUUCCGAAUGGGGAAACCUAACAGGUUUUACCGCCUGUUAUCACUAAGUGAAUUCAUAGCUUAGUUGAAGGUAGACGUGGGGAACUGAAACAUCUAAGUACCCACAGGAAGAGAAAGAAAUUCGAUUCCCUCAGUAGCGGCGAGCGAACCGGGAAGAGCCCAAACUAAGAAGCUUGCUUCUUAGGGUUGUAGGACUGAACAUUUGAGUUACCAAGAAAUGAAGUAGUUGAAUAAUCUGGGAAGAUUAGCCAAAGAGAGUGAUAGCCUCGUAAGCGAAACUUCGUUUCCUCAGUUCAGGAUCCUGAGUACGGCGGAACACGUGAAACUCCGUCGGAAUCCGGGAGGACCAUCUCCCAAGGCUAAAUACUACCUAGUGACCGAUAGUGAACCAGUACCGUGAGGGAAAGGUGAAAAGCACCCCGGGAGGGGAGUGAAAUAGUUCCUGAAACCAUAUGCCUACAAGUAGUCAGAGCUCGUUAAUGAGUGAUGGCGUGCCUUUUGUAGAAUGAACCGGCGAGUUACGUUAGCGUGCGAGGUUAAGGAGGAAAGUCCGGAGCCGUAGCGAAAGCGAGUCUGAAUAGGGCGAGAUAGUACGUUGACGUAGACCCGAAACCAGGUGACCUACCCAUGUCCAGGUUGAAGGUGCGGUAAAACGCACUGGAGGACCGAACCCGUGUAUGUUGAAAAAUGCUGGGAUGAGGUGUGGGUAGAGGUGAAAUUCCAAACGAACUUGGAGAUAGCUGGUUCUCUCCGAAAUAGCUUUAGGGCUAGCCUCGGAGUUGAGAAUCGUGGAGGUAGAGCACUGUUUGGACUAGGGGCCCGUCUUGGGUUACUGAAUUCAGAUAAACUCCGAAUGCCACAGAUUUAUAUCCGGGAGUCAGACUGCGAGUGAUAAGAUCCGUAGUCGAAAGGGAAACAGCCCAGACCACCGAUUAAGGUCCCAAAAUAUGUGUUAAGUGGAAAAGGAUGUGGAAUUGCAUAGACAACUAGGAUGUUGGCUUAGAAGCAGCCACCAUUUAAAGAGUGCGUAAUAGCUCACUAGUCGAGUGAUCCUGCGCCGAAAAUGUAACGGGGCUAAACACAUUACCGAAAUCGUGGAUGUACCUUAGGGUACAUGGUAGGAGAGCGUUCUAAGGACGGCGAAGCUAGACCGUAAGGACUGGUGGAGUGCUGAGAAGUGAGAAUGCCGGUAUGAGUAGCGAAAGAUCAGUGAGAAUCUGGUCCACCGUAUGACUAAGGUUUCCUGGGGAAGGCUCGUCCUCCCAGGGUUAGUCGGGACCUAAGCCGAGGCCGAGAGGCGUAGGCGAUGGAUAACAGGUUGAGAUUCCUGUACUGGUUAAACUUGUUUGAACAAUGGAGGGACGCAGGAGGCUAUCGAUGCGUACUGUUGGAUAUGUACGUUCAAGCAACAAGUCUGUAGAUGAGUCAAAUGCUUAUCUACUUAAGGACAAGUUGUGAUGAGGAGCGAAAUUUAGUAGCGAAGUGAGAGACGUCACACUGCCAAGAAAAGCUUCUAGUUAGAGUUUAAUCACCCGUACCGCAAACCGACACAGGUAGUCGAGGCGAGUAGCCUAAGGUGAGCGAGAGAACUCUCGUUAAGGAACUCGGCAAAAUGACCCCGUAACUUCGGGAGAAGGGGUGCUGAGCGCAAGCUCAGCCGCAGUGAAUAGGCCCAGGCGACUGUUUAUCAAAAACACAGGUUUCUGCAAAAUCGUAAGAUGAAGUAUAGGGGCUGACGCCUGCCCGGUGCUGGAAGGUUAAGAGGAUGGGUUAGCGUAAGCGAAGCUCAGAAUUGAAGCCCCAGUAAACGGCGGCCGUAACUAUAACGGUCCUAAGGUAGCGAAAUUCCUUGUCGGGUAAGUUCCGACCCGCACGAAAGGCGUAACGAUCUGGGCACUGUCUCAACGAGAGACUCGGUGAAAUUAUAAUACCCGUGAAGAUGCGGGUUACCCGCGACAGGACGGAAAGACCCCAUGGAGCUUUACUGUAGCUUGAUAUUGGGUGUUUGUACAACUUGUACAGGAUAGGUAGGAGCCGUAGAAGUCGGAACGCUAGUUUCGAUGGAGGCAUUGGUGGGAUACUACCCUCGUUGUAUGAACACUCUAACCCUCGCCGGCAAUCACGGCGGGAGACAGUGUCAGGUGGGCAGUUUGACUGGGGCGGUCGCCUCCUAAAAGGUAACGGAGG
rnacentral:rRNA from 1 species